rnacentral:lncRNA from 1 species
GGAGGAAAGAGAGAGAGGUUAGACAGAGAAAGAGAAUGAAGAGAGAGAGGGAGAGAGAGAGAGAGGGAGAGAGAAUGAAGAGCGAGAGAGAAGCAGAAAACAAAGAGAGAGCGGGAGAGAGAGAGAUCUACCUUUCCCUCUCCACUCGAAUCACAAUGUUUUUCUGCCAGCCCAAGGACCAUACCUCAGGACUACCUGAGGACUCCUUGCUGUCCCUACCUGAUUGUGCUGCUGCUCCAGUUUCAACUGUUCUGCCUGUGGCUAUGGAACCCUGACCUGUUCACCAGACGUCCUACCUUGUCCCGUACCUGCUGCUUUCGACUCUCUCUCUACCGCACCUGUUGUCUCUAACUCUGAAUGAUCGGCUAUGAAAAGCUAACUGACAUUUACUCCUGAGUUGCUGACCUGUGAUUAUAAUUUUUUUGACCCUGCUGGUCAUCUAUGAACAUUUGAACAUCUUGGCCAUGUACUGUUAUAAUCUCCACCCGGCACAGCCAGAAGAAGACUGGCCACCCCUCAGAGCCUGGUUCCUCUCUAGGUUUCUUCCUAGGUUCCUGCCUUUCUAGGGAGUUUUUCCUAGCCACCAUGCUUCUACAUCUGCAUUGCUUGCUGUUUGGGGUCUAAGGCUGGGUUUCUGUAUUGCACUUUGUGACAUUGGCUGAUGUAAAAAGGGCUUUAUAAAUACAUUUGAUUGAUUGAUUGACACGAGUAGGACGGGUGUGGCUUUGUGACAAUGACCACACGAGCAGUUGCUCACCGAUUUGACAGCUCUAACGCAGUUACACCACCAACACUGCUAAAACACCAGUUGUGAUACUGUUGUCUAUCGCGUGUUUAAUCUAGAUCUGAUUAAAUCUAAUCCUUAAUGUCAAGUGUCCCUGAGCAUUGCUACUUUUUAUUUGGUGUUAUUAUUAUUAUUGACUUGAUGCUGGGCAACAAUUAACAAAGUGCAGAAAUGUUUUCUUUGCCAUCAGGCCAUAGACCUGAUGGCAAAGCAGGAAAUUCAGGUUUCUGUCAUCCAAGAGGUUGAAAGUUCAAAUGCCAGGUGUGGUAGCAUCACAAGUGUGUUAACCAAUGUUGUGGACAAAGCCAUUUAAAGGAACAUUUUAAAAAUGUUCAACUUCACAUUCAUCAUCUCUAGCACCACC